rnacentral:rRNA from 1 species
UACGUAGGGUGCGAGCGUUGUCCGGAAUUAUUGGGCGUAAAGAGCUCGUAGGCGGUGUGUCGCGUCGGCCGUGAAAACCUGGGGCUCAACUCUGGGCGUGCGGUCGAUACGGGCAUCACUUGAGUUCGGCAGGGGAGACUGGAAUUCCUGGUGUAGCGGUGAAAUGCGCAGAUAUCGGGAGGAACACCGGUGGCGAAGGCGGUUCUCUGGGCCUUACCUGACGCUGAGGAGCGAAAGCGUGGGGAGCGAACAGG